rnacentral:lncRNA from 1 species
UAGGAAUGACAAUUGUACAUGUCUGAUGACAACUCACCCGUCUCACAAAAAAAUCAUCCACCAUAGCUAAAAAAUUGAAACCCAUUUCAUUUUCUCCCACCCAUCGUUCGUGGUGCUCUGUCAAACGUGAUUUUUCACUGCCGUUUGUUGUUGAUCGUUUGUCGCUGACGUCUUAACAGGUUGAUUGUUUGUCACCAUUGUUCGUUUUACUUCUAUUUCACCGCUCUCGUCAAAGUGAGAAGAUUCUUCCUCUGAAAUUUGUAUCCAUGUUAUAAAUACAAACUCACCGACUUGUUUUCUUUUGUGUUUUUGCAGCGAUGAACCCAACGACGAGAUCCUGGAGUUUCAUUCAAAGGCUCCAACCUCCACUUCCUCAUGAAAUUCGUCCUUUGGCACCAAAACCCAGCCUCUCAUCUUCAUCUGGCUCACGACCCUUCACACCAUAGAUACCAACCAAACCAUCCUCCCCUUCAGGAAAUUGGCCAUUCUGCUCAGGGAAGUGUGCACCUCUGUAAUAUUUUCAAUUCUCAUCCCUACAACCAAUAUGGGGAUGAAGGGUACAAUUCUCAUUUUCCUGCCUCAUUUCCUUAAUCCUCUGCUACCUUCCCCCACCACUUAACAUGCUAGUCAUCACCAACUCACAUCUUCUCACUUUUUUCCUAGAUGGAAGGACUACAUCACCAACUUCUUUGCCAACAUUAACAGACACAUGCAUCAAUCGAUUCUCCAUACUUGGCAAGAUCGUCCAUUUGUUUUCUUCCCAGUAAAUACUCAAUCAAUUUUUUAAUUUCAUUAUUCUCAUGACAGGGAUUCUUGCAAAAUGGAAACAAUAUUCAAUGAUGGAAAUCCUUUUAGAGUGAAUGUCGUUUACAAUCACAAGAAAGAUAAGCACUACAUUGACUCAAGAGAAAACCCCUCUGCCCAAAUGAUUUCUUUUAAAAUGGAUGGAAACAAUUAUGUAACUUGGAGGAAACAGUUUAGGAUAGUUGCACUACAAAAAAAAUAAGACCUUGUAUGACGGUCUUAAGAUGACGGAUUUCUGCCGUCAUAAGUGAUCAAUGACGGAAAUCUGCCAUCUUAAAACCGUCAGAACGACAACCGUCAUUAUAAUCCCAUAUCCGUUAUCUAAAUACCGUCAUCUAUUAUUCAUCCGCCAUCAAAAGAUCGCUAUACAAUGUCCUUUUUUUUGUAGUGUUGUCAAUUCUAAAAAAAAUUAGAUUUUCUAACCGGUUCUAUUCCCCAACCAAAGGAGGAUGAUGAAAUCUAUAAGAAAUGGAGUAUGUGAAAUGGCAUGGUUCACUCUAGGAUUCUAGCUGAACAGUCUCAUACUUGAACUAGCAUAGACUUUCUUACACUACAAGAAAACAGAGAAACAACCACGAUCAAGAUCAGUGGCUAAAUGGUAAAAUCCGUGGCUAAAUUGAUUUAGCCAUGGGAGUGACCGUGGUUGUAGGUCUGGUGGCUACUUAUUUUUAACCACGUUGGCCGUGGCUAAAUUUUUGCGACAUGAAGGUCCACAACCAAAAUCAGUGGCUAAUGUUUUUUUGGCCGUGACUAAAUUUUUAAAACAGAAAGAAAAGUGAAAGAUCACAGCCAAAAUCAAUAGCUAAUGUUCCUUUGGCCGUGGUUAAAUUUUUGAAACAUGAAGGAAAUGGAAGGGCCACGACCAAAAUCAGUGGUCAAAUGGUAAAAGCCGUGGCUAAUUUGUUAAAAAAAAUUAAGAAAUUUUUUAAAUGUUGAAAGAUGCUCAUAUUGUAAGGUCUUACACAUUAAUUCAUAUAAUCUAAAAUAUUACCAACAUACAAAUAUUGCCAUUCACAUACAAAUAUUACCAUUCACAUACAAAUAUCAUUCAAACAUACAAAUAUUGUCCAUAUUGUCAUACAAAAAUACCAUUCAAUACAUACAAAUAUUGUCAAAUACAAACAUUCAACACAAACCUAUUGCCAACAUCCAACACAAACCUAUUGCCAACAUACAAAUAUUCAAAAGCAUUCAAAUAACAUAAAAUAAAAUCGAGAAACCUAUUUGUUGGUGUCAGUCACGCUAUUAUAAGUCGCGUUGUUGCCAACAUUUUCAAUAUUCGAAUCUCUUGUAAUUGACGUGAUUAGAAAAAAACAAUGAAGAAGAAAAACAGGGAGCUUUGAAGGUGAUGAUUUCUGGAUCUACUGUGAUACUUGCCGAUCGAUUUUAAUUUCUGUAAAGAUUUUAAAUAAUUUAAUUUCACAAUAAAUGGAAAACAG